UACGUAGGGUGCAAGCGUUGUCCGGAAUUAUUGGGCGUAAAGAGCUCGUAGGCGGUCUGUCACGUCGGCUGUGAAAACCCGAGGCUCAACCUCGGGCCUGCAGUCGAUACGGGCAGACUAGAGUGCGGUAGGGGUGACUGGAAUUCCUGGUGUAGCGGUGGAAUGCGCAGAUAUCAGGAGGAACACCGAUGGCGAAGGCAGGUCACUGGGCCGCAACUGACGCUGAGGAGCGAAAGCAUGGGGAGCGAACAGG
rnacentral:rRNA from 1 species